UACAGAGGUCUCAAGCGUUGUUCGGAUUCAUUGGGCGUAAAGGGCGCGUAGGCUGCGGGGCAAGUCGGGUGUGAAAUCUCAGAGCUCAACUCUGAAACUGCACUCGAUACUGCUUUGCUCGAGGACUGGAGAGGAGAUUGGAAUUCACGGUGUAGCAGUGAAAAUGCGUAGAUAUCGUGAGGAAGACCAGUGGCGAAGGCGGAUCUCUGGACAGUUCCUGACGCUGAGGCGCGAAGGCCCAGGGGGAGCAAAACGGGG
rnacentral:rRNA from 1 species